rnacentral:rRNA from 1 species
GAUGAACGCUAGCGGCAGGCCUAACACAUGCAAGUCGAGGGGCAGCACAGGUAGCAAUACUGGGUGGCGACCGGCGGAUGGGUGCGUAACGCGUAUGCAACCUACCAUUGAUUGGGGCAUAGCCCGAAGAAAUUCGGAUUAAUACUCCAUAAUAUUCAUCAAAGGCAUCUUUUAUGAAUUAAAGCUUUUGCGAUCAAUGAUGGGCAUGCGUGACAUUAGUUAGUUGGUGAGGUAACGGCUCACCAAAACGAUGAUGUCUAGGGGUUCUGAGAGGAUUAUCCCCCACACUGGUACUGAGACACGGACCAGACUCCUACGGGAGGCAGCAGUGAGGAAUAUUGGUCAAUGGACGCAAGUCUGAACCAGCCAUGCCGCGUGCAGGAUGACGGCCCUAUGGGUUGUAAACUGCUUUUCCACGGGAAGAACCCUCCGACGUGUCGGAGACUGACGGUACCGUGGGAAUAAGCAAUCGGCUAACUCCGUG